rnacentral:tRNA from 1 species
GCGAGAGUGGUGAAACUGGCAGACACGCCAGACUUAGGAUCUGGUGCCUUUGGCGUAAGGGUUCAAGUCCCUUCUCUCGCA